AACGAACGUUAGCGGCGCGCUUAACACAUGCAAGUCGCACGAGAAAGGGCUUCGGCCCCGGUAAAGUGGCGCACGGGUGAGUAACACGUGGGUAACCUGCCCUCGAGCGGGGGAUAACAUUCCGAAAGGAGUGCUAAUACCGCAUAAGACCACGGCCUCGAAAGAGGACGAGGUAAAAGCUGGCCUCUGUACACAAGCUAGCACUUGAGGAUGGGCCCGCGGCGCAUCAGGUAGUUGGUGAGGUAAUGGCUCACCAAGCCGAAGACGCGUAGCUGGUCUGAGAGGAUGAUCAGCCACACUGGAACUGAGACACGGUCCAGACUCCUACGGGAGGCAG
rnacentral:rRNA from 1 species